rnacentral:rRNA from 1 species
UACAGAGGUCCCAAGCGUUGUUCGGAUUCACUGGGCGUAAAGGGUGCGUAGGUGGUGAGGUAAGUCGGAUGUGAAAGCUCGGAGCUCAACUCCGAAAUGGCAUUGGAAACUACCUUGCUCGAGGGAUGGAGGGGGGACUGGAAUUCUCGGUGUAGCAGUGAAAUGCGUAGAUAUGACAUAGAAUACCCAUUGCGAAGGCAGCUAACUACGCGAUAAUUGACGCUGAUGCACGAAAGCGUGGGGAUCAAACAGG